GAACAGUGAAUGAGGUUGUGUCAUGUGCGUGUGGGACUGCCUCCCCAGCCCUGUCUUAACAACUCUGAAUAACUCGAGAGGUCGGCGGGCUCAGUCAAGGCAGCUUUGUUUCUUUUUUCUUAACUGUAAGCCUUUGACAUGUACUGAGAAAAGCCCGUGCAUUAGACCCCGACUUAGUGGCUGCUCCCGGCAAGGCCCACCUUACACCACACAAGCCCAGGCGCUGAGACAACCAUACUUGGUUCUGAAUUGGCAAGAUGCCUGGAAUGCUGUCAACCUAGUCAUUGAUUUACCUAUUUUCAAAGAAAAGGAAAUUCCGUCCUCGCCAUCUCGAAUGUGCGCUGCUGCUUUGAUCUUGAAUGCUCACUUGACCAACUGAGAUCCCUUCCGGGAAUGCUUGAGUCUCGGCUAAGCAGCAGUGCCAGGUGCUCCAAGGGUUGGGCUGAGGGGGGCCAUUAAGGAGGAACAUCCACAUGCUUAAGCAACGCUGUCUGUGAGAACUCCCCCACUGUGCCCGGCCACGAUAGACGCAGCCAUCCCGACACUUGCUGCUGGACAAGAUGAACCAGGCCUCACCACAGCCAGAUCGAAGGUGGUAUGAGAACCACGAGAAGAUCCAGGAGGACCGCGCUCUACGCAGCAACCACUUCCUGGGCAAGAAUACCAUCUAUGGCGUGGAGCGAUGCAUGAGCCUGAUGCAGGCCGGCACCCAGAUGGUGAAGCUGAGAGGGAGCUCCAAAGGCCUGGUCCGCUUCUACUUCCUGGACGAACAUAAAACCUGCGUCAGGUGGCGGCCGUCCAGGAAAAACGAGAAAGCCAAAAUUUCAAUAGAUGCCAUUCGAGAGGUGUGUGAAGGGAAACAGUCUGAGAUUUUUCAGCGCUACCCGGAUGGAACCUUUGACCCCAACUGCUGCUUCAGUAUUUAUCAUGGUGACCACAUGGAGUCCCUGGACCUGAUUUCGUCAAACGGCGGCGAGGCUCGGACAUGGAUCACGGGCCUCAAGUACCUAAUGGCAGGAAUCAGCGAUGAAGACAGCCUGUCGAAGCGACAGAGGACACGGGACCAGUGGCUGAAGCAGACCUUCGCUGAGGCGGAUAAGAAUGGGGACGGCAGCCUGAGUGUGGGCGAGGUGCUGCAGCUGAUGCACAAACUCAAUGUCAAUCUGCCACGCCAGAAGGUCAAGCAGAUGUUCAAGGAGGCGGACACAGACGACAAUAAAGGGACACUGGACUUUGAGGAGUUCUGCUCGUUCUACAAGAUGAUGUCCACGAGGCGAGACCUCUACCUCCUGAUGCUGAUGUACAGCAACCACAAGGACCAGAUGGACACUGACGACCUGAAGAGGUUUCUGGAGGUGGAGCAGAAGAUGAGCUGCGUGAUGAAGGAACGUUGCCUGGAGAUCAUUGACAAAUUUGAGCCGUGCCUGGAGAACCAGAAGCGUGGUGUGAUUGGGAUCGAUGGUUUCACCAACUACAUGCGGAGCCCAGCCGGGGAUAUCUUCAACCCCGAACAUUACAAUGUGAUCCAGGACAUGACACAGCCCCUCUGCAACUAUUACAUUGCCUCGUCCCACAACACCUAUCUGAUGGGGGACCAGCUGAUGUCGCAGUCACGGGUGGAUAUGUACGCAUGGGUGCUCCAGGCUGGCUGCCGCUGUGUGGAAGUUGACUGCUGGGAUGGACCAGACGGAGAACCCAUUGUUCACCACGGCUACACGCUCACCUCCAAAAUCCUCUUCCGAGAUGCGAUUGAAACCAUCAAUAAAUAUGCUUUUGCAAAGUCAGAAUAUCCAAUCAUCCUGUCGGUGGAGAACCACUGCAGCGUGCCGCAGCAGAAGAAGAUGGCUCAGUACCUGUGCGAGAUCUUCGGGGACAAACUUGAUGUAUCCUCCGUGCAUGUGGACAAUGUGACCCAGCUGCCUUCCCCUGAGAGCUUGAAAGGAAAGAUUCUCGUGAAGGGCAAGAAACUAUCUGCAAACAUCAGUGAAGAUGCGGAGGAGGGCGAGGUGUCGGACGAGGAUAGUGCGGAUGAAAUCGAAGACGAUUGCAAGUUGAUGAACGGAGAUGCCACGGCCAACCGGAAACAGGUGGAGAGCGUGGCGAAAAAGAAGCUCGACUCGCUGCUGAAGGAAUCGAAAAUCCGAGACCGGGAAGAUCCCGACAGCUUCACGGUCAACGCCAUCCCUCAGACGGGCAAAGUGUGUCAGAAGUCGGACACAAAGAAGCAGCAGAAGCGGAGCUCCAGCGCUGUGCCCACAGUCGAGAAGUCAACGAGUAAAGCCGACGACGGCACAGACUCUGGAGAAGAUCCAGUGACCAACAAGAGACACAGUCGCUCCUUCAUCGGCAGCUUCUCCAAGCGCAAGAAGAAAGCUGUGAAGAUCAAGAAGUCAUCGAGCUUGGAGGAUGAUGAAGAUGAUCAUGAGCAUCAAACCACUGCCGGCCGGAGUGUGGUCCACUCAGCAAGGUGCGGUCGACAGAAGAAGACCAUGAAGCUGUCCCGGGCUCUCUCUGACCUGGUUAAGUACACAAAGUCUGUCGGCAUGUCCGAUAUCGACUCUGAAGUCGUGUGCAGUUGGCAGGUCUCUUCGUUCAGUGAAGCAAAGACCCACCAGCUCCUGCAGCAGAAACCCCAGCAGUUCCUGCGGGUGAACCAGCAGCAGCUCUCCCGUAUCUACCCCUCCUCCUACAGGGUGGACUCCAGCAACUUCAACCCCCAACCCUUCUGGAACGCAGGCUGCCAGCUCGUUGCAUUGAACUACCAGUCUGAAGGAAGAGUGCUGCAACUUAAUCGAGCCAAGUUUAACUCCAAUGGGAGCUGUGGCUAUGUUCUCAAACCCAAGUGCAUGACUCGUGCAGGUAACUUUAACUCAUCCGCGGACGACCUGCUGUCGGGACUGACAAAGAAACAACUGGUUCUGAGGAUCAUCAGCGGCCAACAGCUGCCGAAACCCAAAGAUUCCAUGCUGGGCGACAGGGGAGAGAUAAUCGACCCAUUUGUGGAGGUGGAGGUCAUCGGUCUGGCUGUCGACUGCACCAAGGAGCAGACCAGAGUGGUGGAUGACAAUGGGUUUAACCCGAUGUGGGAGGAGACCCUCGUGUUCACCCUGCACAUGCCCGAGAUCGCCCUGGUCCGCUUCUUGGUGUGGGACCACGAUCCCAUCGGUCGAGACUUCAUCGGUCAACGAACUCUGGCCUUCACCAGCAUGAUGCCUGGUUAUCGGCACGUGUACCUGGAGGGGAUGGAGGAGGCCUCCAUCUUUGUUCAUGUGGCCGUCAAUGACAUCAGUGGUAAGAUCAAGCAAGUCAUGGGAUUAAAGGGGCUUUUCCACAGAAAUCCAAAGCAGUCUUCGCUGGACAGUCAUGUUGCUGUAAUGCUCACCCGCAAACACUCUUUUAGUAGUCACAUCCUGCGCCGGACAGCGAGCGCUCCCACCAAAGGGCAGCAGAAGGGCAAGAAGGGCUUCCCGCACAUUGUUCUAGACACCAAGGAUUGCAGCUCGGAGGGAGCAAGUGAGUCUGACGACACCUCGCAGCCCCGCUUCGAGCAGGAGGCAGAAGGCGUGGAGGCAGCUCCAGAAGGUGGUGACAGGGCCGGCCCCCAUAGGGAGGUGCCGACGGAGGCCGUCAAAGGUAAGGGGUCAGGCCGGGGGUCGGGGGAAGGUCAGAAGCAACGUGUGACUAAUGUGCCAGCGGGUGUGGUGUUUAGCGAGCCCUUAAGGCGGGCAAACCGAGUGCGCAUUGUGGAGCCCGAGGAGCAGAGGCAAGGAGUGUUCACCAGGUGUGCCAUAAAUGGCUGCGGUAGGAUUGGCGUGGCCACCAGUUGCAUGAAAUGCGUCAUUGGUUCCCGGGAGAGCCCUGACCUAGAACGCAAGUGGAGAGAUCACCUGCACAAGCCGGCCUCCCUGGCGGCGCCAAAGCGGGUACGUCAGUGUGCCUCCUCUGAGGGCGAGUGGCUGAUUUCCUCUGGGCAGGCCGUCCAGUGCCAACCCCAGCAGAGGUGGCGACGCCAGGUUGCUCGCAGUGUCGGCUGCAGCGGCGGAGAAGUCCAGCGGUCGAAGGUCACCACCAAGGGCUGUGACUCGCCCGGGUCUGCACGCCCGGAGGGUGUGGGUGAUCUGGAGCACUCUCACCACUUGGCACGGGACCCAGCAAAGUGUCCAGGCACCCUGCAACGCGAAAUGAACUCUUUGUUUGUACAAAAGAUGGAGGAAAUCCGAAGCAAGUCUCCAAUCUUUUCCACGGGUAAGACCUGAAUGGACCAUUUUGUUGACCUGUCUUUUGCUUUGUAGAUCGACUUGUUCCUCUGGCUAGCAACUCCUUGCCCAGCCAAAGCCUGAACCCACUGCCCAACACUGAACACCUUGCCUAGUGUAGAUCCCCCAUCUCCUUCACUUUGAGCAAAUUGUCACAAGGAGGAUAUGGGACUGUUUGCUCUCUAGUUUCUCAUUCCCUGCCCACCUAAUGUUUCAAAGCUCAUUUCUUUCUCCCUCUAAGACGUCGAAAUGGUUCAUAGCAGCAAAUGCAUGAGUUCAGAAGGAUGAGGGAGGGUCUCAUUGAAACUUACCAAAUAGUGAAAGGCCUGGAUAGAGUGGAUGUGGAGAGGAUGUUUCAACCAGUGGGAGAGUCAAGGACCAGAGGGCAUAGCAUCGCAAUAAAAGGACGUACCUUUAGAAAGGAGAUGAGGAGGAAGUUCUUUAGUCAGAAGGUGUAAAUCUGUGGAAUUCAUUGCCACAGACAGCUGUGGGGGCCAAGUCAUUGGGUAUUGUGCAAGGAGAGAUUGACAGGGUCUUGAUUAGCAAGGGGCUCAAAGAUUAUGGGGAGAAGGCAGGAGAAUAGGUUGAGGAGGAAAAAUGGAUCAGCCAUGAUUGAUUGAUUGAUGAAGAAGACUUGAUGGGCCAAAUGGCCUGAUUCUGCUCAUAUGACUUACCUGCAGUUGGGUUUGAGGGCUUAACAUACCUCACGGUUUGAGUGAGUGGAGAUUGAAAUAAUUUCCGUAAAACUGACCUGGGUACCAGCACAUUUAGCAAUGGCAAACCAACCACUCUGAACUAGUAACGGCAAACCAACUGCUCCCAGUGAGAGAUGGCAAAGCAACCAUUACCAGCUAGUAAUGGUAAGCCAACCGCUCCCAACUAGUGAUGACAAACCAACCGCUCCCAACUAGUGAUGCCAAACCAACCGCUCCCAACUAGUAUUGGCAAACUGACCAUUACCAACUAGCAAUGAAAUGCCAAACACCACCAACUAAUGGCAAACCAAUCACUCCCAACAGAUUCCCAUAUGACAAGAAGGAAGUAUUUACAUUUUAAGGCCGGGUUUAACACUUGCUUCAGUUUCCCAAUGUUCGCCCACUGUUAUGCACAGAUCAGUAAUGGGUCAAUCUCCACAUCCAACUGUGAGAGGGGAGGGGGUGGUGUAAAGCGGGGGAUUCUAAUUCUCAGGCCACAUUGUCACGUAUCCCCCUCACCCCUGACAAAGCCUUCCUCUGUCAGUGUGGGACAGAGACCCUCAGACUAAAGGAACUAGAGUAGCUGCAAGUGCUGGCCUGAGGGGAGGGGUGACCACAGUGGUGCCUCGCCCUGCCCCUUGCACGCUCCAGAGACACAUCUACUCCGUCUGACCCACAGGAAGUCUCAGCUUGGCAUCCUCUGCGCACAAUGUGCCUGUAACUGGCUUCCUGCAGCAGGACACGGCUUGGCAAGUCUCUGUCAGCCAAGCAUAAAUACACAAGCAAGUUCCCCAUCAUGUCACCACACGGGCCACAGCUUUAUUAUGUAACUGGCCCAGCACUCUCACAGGAGAUGACCAUCCCAAAAUGGCCAGUUAAAAAUCCGAAGAGCCGUGAGCUAUUCUGACCUCGACAGAGUUAAAAUGAUGUUGAACAUCUGCAAUGGACCCAUGGAGGGUGAAUCGGAACAAAAUAGGAGAAGCUUUAACGUGGCUCUGAAAUGGGGGGUAACCAGGAGAUGGUGGUGGUGGAGACGGAGCUAAGGUUUGACGCCCGAUCAACAUUGCAGCCAGGUCAGGUGGGAUGUAGAAGCAAAGUAGUUUCCCAGCCAACAGGUUGAGUUACAGAUGCCUUUACCGUCCCACCUGUCACCACGGGAAGAACACGUGGCAAUCUGAUCUGUCAGCGACUGCCUCCUUAGAUUAGCGUGUGACAUGUCUGCCUUCCCCUGUGUCUCUCCUCUCUCUUCUCUCUCACUGAGUUUAACUGUUUGCAAUGUUCUGCCCUUGCUGCCACACGCAGUGGACAACUGAUCUGGAGAGCAACACCAAGGCGCCCAGCCAUUCUCACAUCCACUUCCAAGCGUUCCC